CCGACGCACCUUCGGGUGUUUAGGAGUGGCAGACGGGUGAGUAACGCGUGGGAACCUACCUUUAGGUACGGAAUAACGCAGGGAAACUUGUGCUAAUACCGUAUGAUCCCUUCGGGGCAAAGAUUUAUCGCCUAAAGAUGGGCCCGCGUUAGAUUAGCUAGUUGGUGAGGUAAUGGCUCACCAAGGCGACGAUCUAUAGCUGGUUUGAGAGGAUGAUCAGCCACACUGGAACUGAGACACGGUCCAGACUCCUACGGGAGGCAGCAGUGGGGAAUCUUGCACAAUGGGCGAAAGCCUGAUGCAGCCAUGCCGCGUGAGUGAAGAAGGCCUUAGGGUUGUAAAGCUCUUUCGCUAGGGAUGAUAAUGACAGUACCUAGUAAAGAAGUUCCGGCUAACUCCGUGCCAGCAGCCGCGGUAAUACGGAGGGAACUAGCGUUGUUCGGAAUUACUGGGCGUAAAGCGCGCGUAGGCGGACCAAUCAGUCAGAGGUGAAAUCCCGGGGCUUAACCUCGGAACUGCCUUUGAUACUGUUGGUCUAGAGUUCGAGAGAGGUAAGUGGAAUUCCCAGUGUAGAGGUGAAAUUCGUAGAUAUUGGGAAGAACACCAGUGGCGAAGGCG
rnacentral:rRNA from 1 species